ACCCGAUACUUCAACUCGUGGAAAUCUUCGUCCAGGAUUGCCAUCCUUCAGAACUUCUAUCUCGUCCUUAGAUCAAACUGUUGGAAUACCUCUGCCCCUGCAAAGUGUCCGGAACUUACAGGCAUCAGCCGGUGGUUCUCCAGGUCCUCGUUUCUUCGUUCGACCAGAAAGUCGGGAAGUAUUCGACACUCAAGAAAUUCUUGACUCCAGAGAAUUCUUCGACGCUCGGGGCAUCCUACGUUCCCGUGAGCUGCACGACACGCUCGAGGUGCUCGGGUCCCGUGAAUUUCUCUCUUCUGAAAUCCAGAUUCACAAUUAAAGGCCUCAAGUGAAUUUCCGACGGCCUAGAUGGAGGAACGCGCGCCGAAUUAUUUAGAGAAGAUAAAAGCUAAUUAAGUUACCGAAAAUUUGAACUAUGUGUUUUGCCCCUUUCUGGUUAGUAUGAACACUGUAAAGUGACAGCACUGUGAAGUUUGGUAUAGUCUUGGCUUUUCUCAAUUGCAGAUAUCUGGUAAAUUAACUUUUCUGUCAAUUAUACGAAAAUAUAUUAAUUUAAACACAA